UACGUCGUCUCUGUGGAAUGCAUGGGUUUUCUCCAGGUCUUCUGGUUUCUUACCACGGCCCAAAGACACACCAAGAUAGUUCAAUAAUUUUUCCAAUGAACACAAUGAGAUUCGAGAGAGCUGCGGAAACAGAAUCAGGAGAAUGAGUUACCA